rnacentral:lncRNA from 1 species
AUCCCAUGAUUUAUGCUUUUUUGCUCCACAACUGGAUUUUCAAAACAAUCAAGAUAUUUAGGUGCAUGCUACUUAACACCAUCUUUGUUAAGCCUAAGGCAUUAAUAAACUUUGAGUUUGUGCUUCAUGGGAUUAGACAUUCACACUUGUGGAUUCACUGUUCCGUGGAAUUACAGAAAACGAUGAAGAUGAAUCAUAGAAUAUUUUUUAAAAUUUUGUUAAGUAUUUAGGUUAUUUCAAUAUAUUCGAAAUAUCUGAACCCGAACUAAAAAUAUUCGAACCCGAUCUGAUAUGUAAAAAUACCGAAUGGAUUCUAGAUCCUUAACUGAAAUACCUAAAAACUCGAAAUACCCGAUC